AACGAACGCUGGCGGCGUGCCUAACACAUGCAAGUCGUGCGAGAAAGUUCCUUCGGGAGCGAGUAAAGCGGCGCACGGGUGAGUAACACGUAGGUAACCUGCCCCCCAGUCUGGAACAACUAGAGGAAACUCUAGCUAAUGCCGGAUGAGACCACGAUCCCUUCGGGGUUGCGGCCAAAGAUGGCCUCUACUUGUAAGCUAUCGCUGAGGGAUGGGCCUGCGGGCCAUUAGCUUGUUGGUGAGGUAACGGCUCACCAAGGCUGUGAUGGCUAGCUGGUCUGAGAGGAUGACCAGCCACACUGGACUGAGACACGGCCCAGACUCCUACGGGAGGCAGGCAGUGGGAAUAUUGCG
rnacentral:rRNA from 1 species